GAUGAACGCUGGCGGCGUGCCUAAUACAUGCAAGUCGAGCGAAGCGGGGACGGGGGAGUACCACGUGUAGAACCUCCUAUAAGACUGGGAUAACUUCGUGAAACCGGUGCUAAACCGGAAGCUGUUACAAGGUUCCGCGCUGGAUUAGCUAGUUGGUAAGGUAACGGCUUACCAAGGCAACGAUGCAUAGCCGACCUGAGAGGUUGAUAGGCCACACUGGAACUGAGACACGGUCCAGACUCCUACGGGAGGCAGCAGUAGGGAAUAUUCCGCAAUGGGCGAAAGCCUGACGGAGCAACGCCGCGUGAGUGAAGAAGGUCUUCGGAUCGUAAAACUCUGUUAGUAGGGAAGCGGUACCUACUCAGAAAGCCACGGCUAACUCCGUGCCAGCAGCCGCGGUAAUAC
rnacentral:rRNA from 1 species